GACGAACCGUGCGAACGUUGUUCGGAAUCACUGGGCUUAAAGGGCGCGUAGGCGGGCGGUCAAGUCAGAGGUGAAAUCCCACGGCUCAACCGUGGAAGUGCCCCUGAUACUGAUCGCCUCGAGGGAGGUAGGGGCGUGCGGAACUUCCGGUGGAGCGGUGAAAUGCGUAGAUAUCGGAAGGAACACCGAAGGCGGAAGCAGCGCGCUGGACCUUUACUGACGCUGAGGCGCGAAAGCCAGAGGAGCAAACGGG
rnacentral:rRNA from 1 species